UCUCCAGGACCACGUUUGUCGGACGUGAUGAGAGCUCUGAUUAGUUGAGAAUAAGGGGCCGUACCAGAAUGUUGUCCCAUAAUUUAUGAGCGUCUUGAAAAUGUAUAUAUCUCUGCAGUUUGGUGUGAGAAGUUACAUCCAAAAAUCAGCCGGUCAUGGAGAUCAAUGGGUGCGAUGAACAUCAGAAUGAGGAAAAACUUGCAGAGAGGUGAAGGCGCAUAUGGCAAAGUGUACAGGACCAAAGAGGUCUGCAAUGCAAUCAACAGCGACUUGUAGCGGUGAAGAAGUUGAACAUACCCGGAGACACGGAGAGUGGGAUUCCUGCUUUCAUGAUCCGGGAGGUGGCGCUCUUGCGUAAUAUCGGGUAUUUCAACCAUCCCAACAUUGUAAAGUGGUGACACUGUGGUACAGGGGCCCUGAGGUGCUGCUCCACUCUGGUUAUAUGUCCUCCAGCGCCGGCUGCAUUUUUACCAAACUGUUCCUUUUGAUACCAUUGUUCUGUGGAGACGCUGAGGCUCAGCAGCUCCAGAAAAUCUUUGAGGUGAUUGGCUUGCCCAGCGAGGAGGACUGGCCCAGGGAGAGCCCCAUCUCCUACACCUGUAGCUGGUGCCCCAGAGACCCCUGCACCCAGCUCUUAUCCAACCUGGGCCAGGAGGAGAACAACCUGCUCCUUCACAAUGUCUAGAGUUCAGCCCGGCCAAUCGCAUCUCAGAGCUUCCAGAGCCCUCUCCCACCCUUUACUGGUGUGCGCCUGAGUACUCACAACCUGGCACGAUGUGGAGAGAAGAAGGGAGAGCUGGGACAGAGGUUCAUUCCUAGCCUAUAGAACACUGAGGCUUCCCGUGCCGUAAGAUGUGAUGUACCUAUAUCAAAAUGUUGAAUUUUGGAAUGGAAAUAAAAAGUAAGUGAAAAUAUUAAAAAGGUAAAUCUGCAGGUUAAGCAAUAAAGUGGGCAUCCUGCCACUGUUUUGGUAAAAAAAAAGUUGAGGGGUGGAAAAAUUGAAUCUCAAAUUCAUAGACAGAGCUAAGACUGAGCAUGCAUG